rnacentral:rRNA from 1 species
GAUGAAUGCUGGCGGCGUGCCUAACACAUGCAAGUCGAGCGGCAGCGAGUUUUACACUGAAUUCUGGAAGCUUCUGAGUAGUACAGAAGAUUUAUUCAAGAGUUUUGUGUAAAAUGUCGGCGAGCGGCGGACGGCUGAGUAACGCGUAGGAAUUUGCCCCAAAGUGAGGAAUAACUGCCCGAAAGGGUAGCUAAUGCCGCAUAUGGUCUUCGGAUUAAAGCCUUCGGGCGCUUUGGGAGAAGCCUGCGUUGGAUUAGGUAGUUGGUAGGGUAAUGGCCUACCAAGCCGACGAUCCAUAGCUGGUCUGAGAGGAUGAUCAGCCAGACUGGAACUGAGACACGGUCCAGACUCCUACGGGAGGCAGCAGUGAGGAAUCUUCCACAAUGGGCGAAAGCCUGAUGGAGCAACGCCGCGUGAAGGAUGAAGGCCUUCGGGUUGUAAACUUCUUUUAUGAGUGAAGGAUAUGACGGUAACUCAUGAAUAAGCACCGGCUAACUACGUG